rnacentral:rRNA from 1 species
AGAACGAACGCUGGCGGCAUGCCUAAUACAUGCAAGUCGAACGAACACUUCGGUGUUAGUGGCGCACGGGUGCGUAACGCGUGGGAAUCUGCCCUUGGGUUCGGAAUAACAGUUGGAAACGACUGCUAAUACCGGAUGAUAUCGAAAGAUCAAAGAUUUAUCGCCCAGGGAUGAGCCCGCGUAGGAUUAGCUAGUUGGUGAGGUAAGGCUCACAAGGCGACGAUCCUUAGCUGGUCUGAGAGGAUGAUCAGCCACACUGGGACUGAGACACCGGCC